rnacentral:rRNA from 1 species
AUUGAACGCUGGCGGCAUGCCUUACACAUGCAAGUCGAACGGCAGCGGACCUUCGGGUGCCGGCGAGUGGCGAACGGGUGAGUAAUAUAUCGGAACGUACCUUUCAGUGGGGGAGUAACGUAGCGAAGUUACGCUAAUACCGCAUAUUCUGUGAGCAGGAAAGCAGGGGAGUCGCAAGACCUUGCGCUGAUUGAGCGGCCGAUAUCAGAUUAGCUAGUUGGUGAGGUAAAGGCUCACCAAGGCGACGAUCUGUAGCGGGUCGUGAGAGGAUGAUCCGCCACACUGGAACUGAGACACGGUCCAGACUCCUACGGGAGGCAGCAGUGGGGAAUUUUGGACAAUGGGCGGCAAGCCUGAUCCAGCCAUGCCGCGUGAGUGAAGAAGGCCUUCGGUGUAAG